AUGGUGAGGCCUCGGCAGCGAGCAAUGGUACGUGACCCACAGCCGGGGGGUGAGGAGGGCAGCUGCCCUCAGCCGGGAGAAGGGGAAACUGAGGCACGGGCAAGGCAACACGGCUUUGCCACAGAGCUGCCAGAAUCCAAGCCAGGAAUAUUUAAAACCUCUGGAGCAUUAACACUGCCACCAGCCCAAAAAAACCAAAGCCAGCAGUGCUCCGAACGGGAGGCCCUGGGUUCCCGGGAGCCCCAACGCAUGUGCAGCCCCAGCCCUGACCGGUUCAGCGUCAAGGCCCAGGGGCAGCCGGGCUCCCCUUCCCCAGGGUCCCUGCUCCCAAAGGGACCGGGAGCGAGGCCGGACCCUUUCCGAUUCAGCCAGGGGCUCCGACCCCUCAGGCAGUGGGCUGCCGGGGGAGCAUCCCUGCCCUCUGCCCACAGGGCUGAGAUGCCAGCGGGGUGCGGGGGUCUCCUCACCACGGCAGGACACGGCAAGGACAUGGGCUGGGAUGUGACACACAGCACAAGCAGAAAGAGGUUCCAGGGGACGCGGAGGAACCGGCUGUGGCUCUCCAGCCUGCCCCGGCCAUGCCCGCCCCGGGCCCGGCCUCCUCCUGCCAGGGCCGUCUCCACUCUCACAAGAGGCGAAAAAGCACCAGGGCUCAGCAGAUAUCUGCUGCCUUGUCCUUCCCGGCCGGCUCCGGGGGAAGCGAGGUGCCAGAGCAUGGCCCCAUCUCCCCGGCAUGGGGAACAAGGGGGUGACCCCAUCAGAGGGGACGGGAGCCCCUCCUCACCCCCCUCUGCCAUGGCCCCAGCUCACACACAUGCUGCCCCCAGCCCCAGGCCCGUGCAAGGACCCCUUCCAUCACUGCGAGCAGGAUUUCGAUGAGAAACGAGGUUUCUGAGCGCUGGGGAGAGACUCUGGCCCACUGCAUCCCUGCUGCGAUGGAGCUGCUGGCAGGGAGAGAAAAACAGGCCCGGAGGAUGGAAAAGGGAUCGAUGUGGGGGAAGCCAGCUCGGGGAAAAAUAGAUAUCUAUCUCAUUAAAAAUGGAUGCUAAAGUGAGUCCUCCCCACUCCAAAGCCACCUCCCUCUCUCUUCCUGGUAGCCGGAGUGAAAUCAGCACCGAGCUUCCCGAGGAGGGGAAAUGCCAGCACGACACAGCUCCCGCUCGGCGCCCACCGAGCGCCGCUGCCACCCCCUGCCGUGCUGCCGAGCCCCACGGGGCUGCCGGGGGGACGCCACGGCUCCGAGCCCGGCAGCCCCCCGCGCCACCCGGGCAGGGGGGUGUUGAGCAGCCCUUUUGCCAGGCGCAUCCCCGAGGGCGGCCUGUCACCGAGACCGUCACGCUCCAGCCUCUGCCACCCCAGGCACUGCUACCCUCUCGCCACUGCCACGCUGGGACUCGGGGCCGGAGCUGGGAGGUCGUGGCCAGCCGGGCCGUGGCAGGGCUGAGCGAGCCCUCGCGGUGCUGCCAGGCCCAGCCGUCCCCGCAGGCGCUACCUGGCGGGGGCUUGGUCCUGGCGGGGGCCGUGCACCCACGCAUGGCCUGGGCCAAGCACUUUACAGAGCCACAGGGGUGAAGCCUGGGUGCCCGCAGGUGCCACCGCCCCAGCAGAGGCUGCAGGGCUCCGGCUGCAGCUCCCGAGCCCGGCGGCCCCCGUGCCUCAGUUUCCCCCCAGCCGAGAGGAGCAGUCCCCAGGGCCUGGGGCAGCCUGCCGGCCGCGGGCAGCUCUGUGCCAGCACGCAGCCCCGCAGGGCCACGCCAGCCGCUGGCCCCCGUCGAGGAGCCGGAGCUUGCCCUGCUGCCUGCCCGGGACUCACCCCCGCCGCGGCCAGCCUGGUCGUGGUCAGCAGCCUGGGAUGCCCACGAGCGCCGGUGGGCACCCA
rnacentral:lncRNA from 1 species